UACGUAGGGGGCAAGCGUUGUCCGGAAUUAUUGGGCGUAAAGAGCUCGUAGGCGGUUUGUCGCGUCUGCUGUGAAAAUCCAGGGCUUAACCCUGGACCUGCAGUGGGUACGGGCAGACUGGAGUGCGGUAGGGGAGAUCGGAAUUCCUGGUGUAGCGGUGGAAUGCGCAGAUAUCAGGAGGAACACCGGGUGGCGAAGGCGGGUCUCUGGGCAGUAACUGACGCUGAGGAGCGAAAGCGUGGGGAGCGAACAGG
rnacentral:rRNA from 1 species